CCUACGGGAGGCUGCAGUGAGGAAUAUUGGUCAAUGGACGAGAGUCUGAACCAGCCAAGUAGCGUGAAGGAUGACUGCCCUAUGGGUUGUAAACUUCUUUUAUAUGGGAAUAAAAUGUUCCACGUGUGGGAUUUUGUAUGUACCAUAUGAAUAAGGAUCGGCUAACUCCGUGCCAGCAGCCGCGGUAAUACGGAGGAUCCGAGCGUUAUCCGGAUUUAUUGGGUUUAAAGGGAGCGUAGGUGGAUUGUUAAGUCAGUUGUGAAAGUUUGCGGCUCAACCGUACAAUUGCAGUUGAGACUGGCAGUCUUGAGUACAGUAGAGGUGGGCGGAAUUCGUGGUGUAGCGGUGAAAUGCUUAGAUAUCACGAAGAACUCCGAUUGCGAAGGCAGUUCACUGGACUGCAACUGACACUGAGGCUCGAAAGUGUGGGUAUCAAACAGGAUUAGAUACCCUGGUAGUC
rnacentral:rRNA from 1 species